GCGGAGGGAUCAUUACCGAGUUUACAACUCCCCAAACCCAAUGUGAACGUUACCAAACUGUUGCCUCGGCGGGGUCACGCCCCGGGUGCGUCGCAGCCCCGGAACCAGGCGCCCGCCGGAGGAACCAACCAAACUCUUUCUGUAGUCCCCUCGCGGACGUUAUUUCUUACAGCUCUGAGCAAAAAUUCAAAAUGAAUCAAAACUUUCAACAACGGAUCUCUUGGUUCUGGCAUCGAUGAAGAACGCAGCGAAAUGCGAUAAGUAAUGUGAAUUGCAGAAUUCAGUGAAUCAUCGAAUCUUUGAACGCACAUUGCGCCCGCCAGUAUUCUGGCGGGCAUGCCUGUCCGAGCGUCAUUUCAACCCUCGAACCCCUCCGGGGGAUCGGCGUUGGGGAUCGGGACCCCUCACACGGGCGCCGGCCCCUAAAUACAGUGGCGGUCUCGCCGCAGCCUCUCCUGCGCAGUAGUUUGCACAACUCGCACCGGGAGCGCGGCGCGUCCACGUCCGUAAAACACCCAACUUUCUGAAAUGUUGACCUCGGAUCAGGUAGGAAUACCCGCUGAACUU
rnacentral:rRNA from 1 species